rnacentral:rRNA from 1 species
AAUGAACGCUGGUGGCAGGCCUAACACAUGCAAGUCGAACGGAUCCUUCGGGAUUAGUGGCGGACGGGUGAGUAACGCGUGGGAACAUACCCUUUGGUACGGAAUAGCCUCGGGAAACUGGGAGUAAUACCGUAUGUGGUCGAGAGACGAAAGAUUUAUCGCCAAAGGAUUGGCCCGCGUUGGAUUAGGUAGUUGGUGGGGUAAUGGCCUACCAAGCCGACGAUCCAUAGCUGGUUUGAGAGGAUGAUCAGCCACACUGGGACUGAGACACGGCCCAGACUACUACGGGAGGCAGCAGUGGGGAAUCUUAGACAAUGGGGGAAACCCUGAUCUAGCCAUGCCGCGUGAUCGAUGAAGGCCUUAGGGUUGUAAAGAUCUUUCAGGUGGGAAGAUAAUGACUGUACCACCAGAAGAAGCCCCGGCUAACUCCGUGCCAGCAGCCGCAGUAA